CUCAAAUUUGAAAUCUGGUCCCCUUUGGGGGCCCGAGUUGUAAUUUGAAGAGGAUGCUUUUGGCGAGGCGCCGUCCGAGUUCCCUGGAACGGGACGCCGCAGAGGGUGAGAGCCCCGUACGGUCGGACGCCGAGCCUCUGUAAAGCUCCUUCGACGAGUCGAGUAGUUUGGGAAUGCUGCUCAAAAUGGGAGGUAAACCCCUUCUAAAGCUAAAUACUGGCCAGAGACCGAUAGCGCACAAGUAGAGUGAUCGAAAGAUGAAAAGCACUUUGAAAAGAGAGUUAAAAAGCACGUGAAAUUGUUAAAAGGGAAGCGCUUGCGACCAGACUUGCGCCCGUCGGAUCAACCGUCGCUUGCGGCGGCGCACUCCGGCGGGCUCAGGCCAGCAUCAGUUCGUCCGGGGGGAGAAAGGCGGCGGGAAUGUGGCUCUUCGGAGUGUUAUAGCCCGCCGUGUAAUACCCUCGGGUGGACUGAGGACCGCGCGUAUGCAAGGAUGCUGGCGUAAUGGUCGUCAGCGACCCGUCUUGAAACACGGACCAAGGAGUCGUCCUAAUAUGCGAGUGUACGGGUGUCAAACCCCUGCGCGUAAUGAAAGUGAACGGAGGUGAGAGCUUCGGCGCAUCAUCGACCGAUCCUGAUGUUCUCGGAUGGAUUUGAGUAAGAGCAUAUUGGGCCGGACCCGAAAGAAGGUGAACUAUGCCUGUGUAGGGUAAAGCCAGAGGAAACUCUGGUGGAGGCUCGCAGCGGUUCUGACGUGCAAAUCGAUCGUCAAACAUGGGCCAUGGGGGCGAAAGACUAAUCGAACCUUCUAGUAGCUGGUUUCCGCCGAAGUUUCCCUCAGGAUAGCAGUGUUGAAUUUCUCAGUUUUAUGAGGUAAAGCGAAUGAUUAGGGACUCGGGGGCGCUUUUUAGCCUUCAUCCAUUCUCAAACUUUAAAUAUGUAAGAAGCCCCCUUGUUACUUC
rnacentral:rRNA from 1 species